rnacentral:rRNA from 1 species
ACGGAAGGCAGCAGUGGGGAAUAUUACACAAUGGGCGCAAGCCUGAUGUAGCAAUGCCGCGUGAGCGAUGAAGGUCUUCGGAUUGUAAAGCUCUGUCCUUAGGGACGAAACAAAUGACGGUACCUGAGGAGGAAGCCCCGGCUAACUACGUGCCAGCAGCCGCGGUAAUACGUAGGGGGCAAGCGUUAUCCGGAAUUAUUGGGCGUAAAGAGUACGUAGGUGGUUUUGUAAGCGGAAGGUGAAAGCCUGGGGCUUAACUCCAGUGAGCCUUUCGAACUGCAAGACUUGAGUGCAGGAGGGGAAAGUGGAAUUCCUAGUGUAGCGGUGAAAUGCGUAGAUAUUAGGAGGAACACCAGUGGCGAAGGCGACUUUCUGGACUGUAACUGACACUGAGGUACGAAAGCGUGGGGAGCAAACAGGAUUAGAUACCCUGGUA